rnacentral:misc_RNA from 1 species
CGAUUUUCUCCGUCGCCACAUGCCCUCUCCUGAACUCCUCAACGGUCCUAACGUCCAGAAGAGGAUAGCCGGAAUCGAGCAGCUUCUUGGCCGUCUCGACGUCGACGGUGACGACUCCGGCAUUGGAACUGUCGGAGGAGGCCAUGAUGAGAUUGUGAGUGGGUUUUGAGGUCGGAAAAACCAGAGGCUGCCGGAGAAAAGUUUGCGAAAGGACGGCGGUGGAAACAACAGGAGAUUUUGAGUGGCGG